rnacentral:rRNA from 1 species
CGAGCACGCGCGUGUGGCAUAUCAAUAAGCGGAGGAAAAGAAACUAACAAGGAUUCCCUUAGUAACGGCGAGUGAAGCGGGAAGAGCUCAAAUUUGAAAUCUUCAAGGUUCUACCUUGACGAAUUGUAGUUUAUAAGAAGUGUUUUCUGUUAGUGGAGUGGCUAAAAGUUCUUUGGAAUAGGACAUCAUAGAGGGUGAGAAUCCCGUAUUUGACGUCAUUCCUCCUAGCGUUGUGAUACACUUUCAAAGAGUCGGAUUGUUUGGGAAUGCAGUCCAAAAUGGGUGGUAAAUUUCAUCUAAAGCUAAAUAUUGGCGAGAGACCGAUAGCGAACAAGUACCGUGAGGGAAAGAUGAAAAGAACUUUGAAAAGAGAGUUAAACAGUACGUGAAAUUGUCAAAAGGGAAGCGUUUGACACCAGUGUUGUUUUUCCGAAAAUCAAUUACGAAUGUUUUGUUUUUGAGGAGUUAUGACUUCAUCGGCUUGCUUCUCUCUUUACGAAACUUUCUUAAUGCACUUUUCGGUUAACAAGUCAACAUCAAUUUCUUUUGUUGUAAAAGGGUAUGAGGAAGGUGGCUUUCUUUUCGGAGAAAGUGUUUAUAGCCUUGUACCUCUGCAAUCGGAGAGAUUGAGGUCUGCAGCGUAGAUCCUUCGGGGUUAGAUACGUAGAUGCUAAGUUAUAGUUUUUUAUAGACAACUUGUUGACUAUGAUUAAUCAUGUAGCUUACUCGUUUACGCUAUUUUACCUACGCUUAGGAUGUUGAGUAGCGACAUACGCAC